rnacentral:rRNA from 1 species
UACGGGGGGAGCAAGCGUUGUUCGGAUUUACUGGGCGUAAAGAGCGCGCAGGCGGUCGUUUAAGUCGAAUGUGAAAGCCCCCGGCUCAACUGGGGAGGGUCAUUCGAUACUGAUCGACUUGAAGGCAGGAGAGGGAAGUGGAAUUCCGGGUGUAGUGGUGAAAUGCGUAGAUAUCCGGAGGAACACCAGUGGCGAAGGCGACUUCCUGGCCUGUUCUUGACGCUGAGGCGCGAAAGCUGGGGGAGCAAACGGG